AAUGAACGCUGGCGGCAGGCCUAACACAUGCAAGUCGAACGGAUCCUUCGGGAUUAGUGGCGGACGGGUGAGUAACGCGUGGGAACAUACCCUUUGGUACGGAAUAGCCUCGGGAAACUGGGAGUAAUACCGUAUGUGGUCGAGAGACGAAAGAUUUAUCGCCAAAGGAUUGGCCCGCGUUGGAUUAGGUAGUUGGUGGGGUAAUGGCCUACCAAGCCGACGAUCCAUAGCUGGUUUGAGAGGAUGAUCAGCCACACUGGGACUGAGACACGGCCCAGAAUCCUACGGGGGGCAGCAGUGGGGAAUCUUAGACAAUGGGGGAAACCCUGAUCUAGCCAUGCCGCGUGGUCGAUGAAGGCCUUAGGGUUGUAAAGAUCUUUCAGGUGGGAAGAUAAUGACUGUACCACCAGAAGAAGCCCCGGCUAACUCCGUGCCAGCCGCCGCGGUAAGAC
rnacentral:rRNA from 1 species